rnacentral:rRNA from 1 species
AAUAAACGUUGGCGGCGUGCUUAACACAUGCAAGUCGAGCGAGAAAGGUCCUUCGGGACUGAGUACAGCGGCAGACGGGUGCGUAACACGUGGGAAUCUACCUUUUAGUGGAGAAUACCCUCGAGAAAUCGAGGUUAAUACUGGCAUACGUCUCGCAAGAGAGAAAGAUGGCCUCUUUGCUGUCGCUAAAAGAUGAGCCUGACGGACUAUUAGCUUGUUGGUGGGGUAAACGGCCUACCAAGGCAAUGAUGGUUAGCCGGCCUGAGAGGGUGUACGGCCACACUGGAACUUAGACACGGUCCAGACUCCUACGGGUGGCUG